AGCAGCAGCCGCGGUAAUACAGAGGCCUCAAGCGUUGUUCGGAUUCAUUGGGCGUAAAGGGUGCGUAGGCGGUAGGGUAAGUCGGAUGUGAAAUCCUGGGGCUCAACCUCAGAACUGCAUUCGAUACUGCUCUGCUAGAGGACUGGAGAGGAGAUCGGAAUUCACGGUGUAGCAGUGAAAUGCGUAGAUAUCGUGAGGAAGACCAGUGGCGAAGGCGGAUCUCUGGUCAGUUCCUGACGCUGAUGCACGAAGGCUAGGGGAGCAAACGGGAUUAGAGACCCCUGUAGUCCCUGUCUCUUAUAC
rnacentral:rRNA from 1 species